AAGUCCCGCAACGAGCGCAACCCCUGCCCUUAGUUGCCAACAGGUUUGGCUGGGAACUCUAAGGGAACUGCCGGUGACAAGCCGGAGGAAGGCGGGGAUGACGUCAAGUCCUCAUGGCCCUUACGGGUUGGGCUACACACGUGCUACAAUGGCGGUGACAGAGGGCAGCGAGGCCGCGAGGCCGAGCUAAUCUCCAAAAGCCGUCUCAGUUCGGAUUGUUCUCUGCAACUCGAGAGCAUGAAGUCGGAAUCGCUAGUAAUCGCGGAUCAGCAUGCCGCGGUGAAUACGUUCCCGGGCCUUGUACACACCGCCCGUCACACCAUGGGAGUUGGUUCUACCCGAAGGUGGUGCGCCAACCUGUUCGCAGGGGGCAGCCAACCACGGUAGGAUCAGCGACUGGGGUGAAGUCGUAACAAGGUAGCCGUAGGGGAACCUGCGGCUGGAUCACCUCCUUU
rnacentral:rRNA from 1 species